CUUGGUCAUUUAGAGGAAGUAAAAGUCGUAACAAGGUUUCCGUAGGUGAACCUGCGGAAGGAUCAUUAUCGAAAUAGAACCUCUAGGAGGGGGGCGAGGGGGAGAGUCCUCGCGUCGCUCCUUUGAACCCUUCCCCCCGGGGCUUCAGCCUCUAACACCUGUGUGCACCCGCUGUAGGUCCUUAGGGACCUAUGUCUUCUUCGAACUCGCAUGUCUACAGAAUGUCGUCCGUGAAUGUAAUACAACUUUCAGCAAUGGAUCUCUUGGCUCUCGCAUCGAUGAAGGACGCAGCGAAUCGCGAUAAGUAAUGUGAAUUGCAGAUUUUCCGUGAAUCAUCGAAUCUUUGAACGCACCUUGCGCUCCUCGGUAUUCCGAGGAGCAUGCCUGUUUGAGUGUCAUCUGAAAUAUCAGAUCGUAGCUUUCGACCGUGUCGGAGCUCGGUUUGGACCAUGGGAGUCUGCGGGCUAACCCCUCCCGUCCGGGAGGAAGUCGGCUCUCCUCAAAAGCAUUAGCGACGGGUGCGAGCCUCGCAUGGCACGGCCUCUUCGACGUCAUAAUGACCGUCGUGGGCUGGAAGUGCGUGUAUCGAAAACGUCCCGUCGCUUUCCAACUCUGCGAGCCCGUUCUGCGGACGGCCGCGUGUCAUCGACGCUUGACCUCAAAUCAGGUAGGACUACCCGCUGAACUUAAGCAUAUCAAUAAGCGGAGGA
rnacentral:rRNA from 1 species